rnacentral:rRNA from 1 species
AUUGAACGCUGGCGGCAUGCCUUACACAUGCAAGUCGAACGGCAGCACGGGUGCUUGCCCCUGGUGGCGAGUGGCGAACGGGUGAGUAAUACAUCGGAACAUGUCCUGUAGUGGGGGAUAGCCCGGCGAAAGCCGGAUUAAUACCGCAUACGCUCUACGGAUGAAAGCGGGGGACCUUCGGGCCUCGCGCUGUAGGGUUGGCCGAUGGCUGAUUAGCUAGUUGGUGGGGUAAAGGCCUACCAAGGCGACGAUCAGUAGCUGGUCUGAGAGUACGACCAGCCACACUGGGACUGAGACACGGCCCAGACUCCUACGGGAGGCAGCAGUGGGGAAUUUUGGACAAUGGGCGAAAGCCUGAUCCAGCAAUGCCGCGUGUGUGAAGAAGGCCUUCGGGUUGUAAAGCACUUUUGUCCGGAAAGAAAUCCUUGGCCCUAAUACGGUCGGGGGAUGACGGUACCGGAAGAAUAAGCACCGGCUAACUACGUG